rnacentral:tRNA from 2 species
GGGCUUGUAGCUCAGUUGGUUAGAGCGCCUGUCUUACACACAGGAUGUCGGGAGUUCGAAUCUCUCCAAGCCCACCA